rnacentral:rRNA from 1 species
AGCAGCCGCGGUAAUUCCAGCUCCAAUAGCGUAUAUUAAAGUUGUUGCAGUUAAAAAGCUCGUAGUUGAAUUUCGGGAUCAAUAUGUUGGUCGUGCCUCGGUACGUACUAGCAUAUUGGUUUCUCCUUUCUGAAGAACCAUGGUGUCAUUUAUUUGGUGUCGUGGGGAAUCAGGACUGUUACUUUGAAAAAUUAGAGUGUUUAAAGCAGGCUCACGCUUGAAUACAUUAGCAUGGAAUAAUGAAAUAGGACGUUUGAUUCUAUUUUGUUGGUUUCUAGGAUCGACGUAAUGAUUAAUAGGGAUAGUUGGGGGCAUUAGUAUUCAAUUGUCAGAGGUGAAAUUCUUGGAUUUAUUGAAGACUAACUACUGCGAAAGCAUUUGCCAAGGAUGUUUUCAUUAAUCAAGAACGAAAGUUAGGGGAUCGAAGACGAUCAGAUACCGUCGUAGUCUUAACCAUAAACUAUGCCGACUAGGGAUCGGAUGAUGUUAAUUUUUAAUGUAC